rnacentral:pre_miRNA from 1 species
AUUGUACUCCCUCCGUCUUAAAAUUCUUGUCUUAGAUUUGUCUAGAUACCGAUGUAUCAAGUCACGUUUUAGUAUUAGGUACAUCCGUAUCUAGACAAUUCUAAGACAAGAAUUUUGGGACGGAGGGAGUAUGAC